UUACGCAGGAACUUAGAAGUUCCUCUAUUUUGAUCUUAAUCAGCAAGGAUUGGACAUGGAGGUCCAAUCCAGGCGCAAUCGAGCCAGGACGGCUCGUUGGGCUGUUUGCGUCACUAUCCAAUGCCUGACUCAAAAUAGAUGGAACAUCUUAGUUCCGAAGUCC
rfam:Firmicutes bacterium CAG:95 genomic scaffold, scf101